rnacentral:rRNA from 1 species
UUGAUCAUGGCUCAGAUGACGCUGCGCGUGCCUAACACAUGCAAGUCGAACGAAGCGCCUUUUCACGAUCCCUUCGGGGUGACGAGAUUGUGACUGAGUGGCGGACGGGUGAGUAACGCGUGGGGAACCUGCCCUGUACUGGGGGAUAGCGACUGGAAACGGUCGAUAAUACCGCAUAAGCGCACAGCAUCACAUGAUGCAGUGUGAAAAACUCCGGUGGUACAGGAUGGCCCCGCGUCUGAUUAGUUAGUUGGUGAGGUAAUGGCUCACCAAGACGAAGAUCAGUAGCCGACCUGAGAGGGUGACCGGCCACAUUGGGACUGAGACACGGCCCAGACUCCUACGGGAGGCAGCAGUGGGGAAUAUUGCACAAUGGGCGAAAGCCUGAUGCAGCGACGCCGCGUGAGUGAUGAAGUAUUUCGGUAUGUAAAGCUCUAUCAGCAGGGAAGAAAUUGACGGUACCUGACUAAGAAGCUCCGGCUAAAUACGUGCCAGCAGCCGCGGUAAUACGUAUGGAGCAAGCGUUAUCCGGAUUUACUGGGUGUAAAGGGAGUGUAGGCGGCAUUAUAAGUCUGAUGUGAAAACUCAGGGCUCAACCUUGAGAUUGCAUUGGAAACUGUAAAGCUAGAGUGUCGGAGAGGUAAGCGGAAUUCCUGGUGUAGCAGUGAAAUGCGUAGAUAUCAGGAAGAACAUCGGUGGCGAAGGCGGCUUWCUGGACGAUAACUGACGCUGAGGCUCGAAAGCGUGGGGAGCGAACAGGAUUAGAUWCCCUGGUAGUCCACGCCGUWUUCUUUGUAUAYUAGGUGUUGGG